rnacentral:rRNA from 1 species
GUGCAGCAGUCGAGAAACUUCACAAUGUGCGAAAGCACGAUGAGGGAAUCCCAAGUGCUUGCACGUAAGUGUAAGCUGUUUCUCUGUCUAAAACGCAGAGAGAGUAAGGGCUGGGUAAGACGGGUGCCAGCCGCCGCGGUAAUACCUGCAGCUCGAGUGGUGACCGUUAUUAUUGGGCCUAAAACGUCCGUAGCCGGUUUAAUAAAUGCCUGGGGUAAAUCGGACCGCUUAACGGUUCGAAUUCCGGGUAGACUGUUAAACUUGAGACCGGGAGAAGCUAGAGGUACUCCUGGGGUAGAGGUGAAAUUCUGUAAUCCUAGGGGGACCACCAGUGGCGAAGGCGUCUAACUAGAACGGGUCUGACGGUGAGGGACGAAGCCCUGGGGCGCAAACGGGGAUUAGAUACCCCUGUAGU